rnacentral:rRNA from 1 species
GACUCUCGGCAACAGAUAUCUCGGCUCUCGCAUCGAUGAAAAACGUAACAAAAUGUGAUACUUGGUGUGAAUUGCAAAAUCCAGUAAACCAUCGAGUCUUUGAACACAAGUUGCGUCCGAAGCCGUCAGGGCGGGGGCACGCCUGCCUAGGUGUCACGC